GUUUUAAGCAUUUUACAUAUAUAUUAAUUCAUUUAACACUCAAAAAGGGAACACUAAGGCAAUAAAGGGUAAAUAAUUUGCCCAAGAUUAUAGUUAGAGACAGAGCAGUAGUCAAAGUCAGGUCUGGUUUCAAUAAUGAUUGAGUCUUAUUUCAGUGAUGUCUUUUAUAAUUUUUUUAAGUGCCUAUGAAGUCAUCAAGCUAAAAGGAUAUACCAACUGGGCUAUUGGAUUAAGUGUGGCUGAUCUUAUUGAAUCCAUGUUGAAAAAUCUAUCCAGGAUUCAUCCCGUGUCAACAAUGGUAAAGGGGAUGUAUGGCAUUGAGAAUGAAGUCUUCCUGAGCCUUCCAUGUAUCCUCAAUGCCCGGGGAUUAACCAGCGUUAUCAACCAGAAGCUAAAGGAUGAUGAGGUUGCUCAGCUCAAGAAAAGUGCAGAUACCCUGUGGGACAUCCAGAAGGACCUAAAAGACCUGUGACUAGUGAGCUCUAGGCUGUAGAAAUUUAAAAACUACAAUGUGAUUAACUCAAGCCUUUAGUUUUCAUCCAUGUACAUGGAUCACAGUUUGCUUUGAUCUUCAAUAUGUGAAUUUGGGCUCACAGAAUCAAAGCCUAUGCUUGGUUUAAUGCUUGCAAUCUGAGCUCUUGAACAAAUAAAAUUAACUAUUGUAGUGUG
rnacentral:sRNA from 1 species